rnacentral:rRNA from 1 species
GUUAGGAAUAUUGGACAAUGGGCGCAAGCCUGAUCCAGCCAUGCCGCGUGAGUGAUGAAGGCCUUCGGGUUGUAAAGCUCUUUAGUCCACGAAUAUAAUGACUUUAGUGGAAGAAUAAGCCCCGGCUAACUUCGAGCCAGCAGCCGCGGUAAUACGAAGGGGGCGAGCGUUAUUCGGAAUCACUUGGCUUAAAGCGUGCGUAGGCUGUUUUGUAAGUCAGAAGUGAAGGCCCAGGGCUUAACCCUGGAAUUGCUUUUGAAACUACAAGACUCGAAUGCGAGAGAGGAUAGCGGAAUUGUCAGUGUAGCAGUGAAAUGCGUAGAUAUUGACAGGAACACCAGUGGCGCAAGCGGCUAUCUGGACCGAUAUUGACGCUGAGGCACGAAAGCGUGGGGAGCAAACAGGAUUAGAUACCCCUGUAGUCC